AACUAUGAGACGAGCGCGGAUUUUUUUCAGAGAGUAGAAGUGCAGGUGGGCGGGCCGGACCCGGCGGGAUGGGUCUGUCAGAAUCGGUUGCCGUUCGGAACUUGCAUCAUGGCUGUUCUUUCUACGGUGCAACUAUAACCCGCACUGUCUGUACUGUCCCGGCUGCAGAGCCAACCAGCAUGAAGGGCUGCUGGGGACUCGCUAUAUUGGGCGCUACAGGGGAGCCCCUAAUGUCUGUGUGCAUGACUUUGUGUCCCGGCUUGUGUGGUUUAGCGCGCAGUUUUAGCGCCCUGGAAAUGAAAGCGCAACUGGAAUUGCGCGUCGGUACAUUAUCCUAAUGGCUACUAUUCCUACAUUCCUGCACCGGGAUGUUGUAAUACUCUGCAUUCGUUGGUCAAGAUGUCGUUUUAUGGGAGAAAGUACCAGCGACUGGAAUACUUUAUAUAGCGUCGGCAAAUUGUCAUUUAUUUGAAUUUAUAAAUGGAAACCUUAGGAAAAGCUGCACCAAAUGUGUCGUGAGAACUCGUCUGUAGUUCUAAAGAACGUUCAACUGAACGAGUCUGGGAUGUACAUGAUUAAGAUUAUCAGUGAACGCGCCGUCUGCAGAAACCUCACUGGAACUGGUGUCAGUGUGCAGGGACUGGGAACUGCCGGUCAGACUGUCACAACAUUCCCUGUGCAGAGUAAAAUGCGAAUCUUUGCAUUUCCAAACAGAGAGAGGGAAGAUCCUGUCUGACUAUAAGUCCAAAGUAUAGGACGAUGGCACAUUUGUCUUUCAUCUGAAAAAUCCAAAGCCUGUGAAGUAAACCAUACUAACGGAAAUUGGAUCAAAACAACAUGGAACUGCGGUAGAUUUAGUUUGCACUACAAAUACCGCCACUGGGUUUUUGAUGGCUAAAUGCUGCUACCAGACCCUCUAAAUCCUGCUAAAUGUCUGGUACACUUUUUUUAAUCACAACUUCACAGUGGCAAUUAAAAUGCCUUCUGCGCCAUAA